AGGCUUGUAGCUCAGGUGGUUAGAGCGCACCCCUGAUAAGGGUGGUCGGUGGUUCAAGUCCACUCAGGCCUACCA
rnacentral:tRNA from 1 species